CUGAGACCCGGCCGGGCGGGGGACCCCGGCCCUGGGACCGGCGAGGCCCCGGAGAGGAGCCUCCUGGCUGUGCCGCCGCGAGCCCCCCGCACCCCCUCCUACGCCUCGGAGUGGGAUGAGAUCGAGAAGAUCAUGAACUUGAUCGGCGCCGGGAUCGACACGUCCAGCAGCGAGCAGAACCGGGCCGCUGAAGCAGGUAAUCGCCAUCCCAGAACCCCCUCUGUCUGAUGUCGUAAGGAACGCGGACUCUGAGAGUCCAUGGGCACACAGGUGCCAUGUGGCUCAGAAGGGUUGGCGGGUAACCUGAGGGUUGCAAGUUUGAUCCCCAGAGUGUUGAGGUGUCCCUGAGCAAGGCGCCUCACCCUGAAAGCUC
ensembl:lncRNA